AUAAAACUGUUCCUUAUAAACAAUGGGAAUGUGUCUCAGGAUCAGGUCGAGGAUAAUGACCAGGAGAUCCGCCGCUGCCAUGGCCCCCAGGUAUCUAUGUUAGCUGUUUGGAUACAGAAUUGGCUGGCCAACAGAAGACAGCGAGUGGUAGUGGAAGGAAAAUAUUCUGCCUGGAAGUCAGUGGGCCAUAUAAACAUAUCUUCAAAUUGACCGAGACCAUUUUCUGCUCAGGGUAUGGCUCUGUGUAUGACAGCAGCAAUGAUGCACCGACAUGGAACAGGGAAUGUGAUGGAGACAUAGUUUGGAUAAUGUACAAGGAGACCUCACAUGGUCCAGUUUGGGAGAGAAUGACAUUAUUGUGUGAUUCAAC